AUUGAACGCUGGCGGCAUGCCUUACACAUGCAAGUCGAACGGUAACGGGCCUUCGGGUGCCGACGAGUGGCGAACGGGUGAGUAAUACAUCGGAACGUGCCCGAUCGUGGGGGAUAACGAGGCGAAAGCUUUGCUAAUACCGCAUACGAUCUACGGAUGAAAGCAGGGGACCGCAAGGCCUUGCGCGGACGGAGCGGCCGAUGGCAGAUUAGGUAGUUGGUGGGAUAAAAGCUUACCAAGCCGACGAUCUGUAGCUGGUCUGAGAGGAUGAUCAGCCACACUGGGACUGAGACACGGCCCAGCCUCCCAGGGGGGGCAGGAGUGGGGAAUUUUGGACAAUGGGCGCAAGCCUGAUCCAGCCAUGCCGCGUGCAGGAUGAAGGCCUUCGGGUUGUAAACUGCUUUUGUACGGAACGAAAAGCCUUCUUUUAAUACAGGGGGGUCAUGACGGUACCGUAAGAAUAAGCACCGGCUAACUACGU
rnacentral:rRNA from 1 species